rnacentral:rRNA from 1 species
GUCACGCUGUAAACGAUGUCGAUUUGGAGGUUGUUCCCUUGAGGAGUGGCUUCCGGAGCUAACGCGUUAAAUCGACCGCCUGGGGAGUACGGCCGCAAGGUUAAAACUCAAAUGAAUUGACGGGGGCCCGCACAAGCGGUGGAGCAUGUGGUUUAAUUCGAUGCAACGCGAAGAACCUUACCUACUCUUGACAUCCAGAGAAUUUAGCAGAGAUGCUUUAGUGCCUUCGGGAACUCUGAGACAGGUGCUGCAUGGCUGUCGUCAGCUCGUGUUGUGAAAUGUUGGGUUAAGUCCCGCAACGAGCGCAACCCUUAUCCUUUGUUGCCAGCACAUUAUGGUGGGAACUCAAAGGAGACUGCCGGUGAUAAACCGGAGGAAGGUGGGGAUGACGUCAAGUCAUCAUGGCCCUUACGAGUAGGGCUACACGCGUGCUACAAUGGCGUAUACAAAGAGAAGCGACCUCGCGAGAGCAAGCGGAACUCAUAAAGUACGUCGUAGUCCGGAUUGGAGUCUGCAACUCGACUCCAUGAAGUCGGAAUCGCUAGUAAUCGUAGAUCAGAAUGCUACGGUGAAUACGUUCCCGGGCCUUGUACACACCGCCCGUCACACCAUGGGAGUGGGUUGCAAAAGAAGUAGGUAGCUUAACCUUCGGGAGGGCGCUUACCACUUUGUGAUUCAUGACUGGGGUGAAGUCGUAACAAGGUAACCA